rnacentral:rRNA from 1 species
AGGGAAUAUUGGUCAAUGGGUGAGAGCCUGAACCAGCCAUGCCGCGUGCAGGAAGAAGGCCUUCUGGGUCGUAAACUGCUUUUACUGGGGGAUAAAAAUUCCAUGCGUGGAAAAUUGAAGGUACCCGGUGAAUAAGCCACGGCUAACUACGUGCCAGCAGCCGCGGUAAUACGUAGGUGGCAAGCGUUGUCCGGAUUUAUUGGGUUUAAAGGGUGCGUAGGCGGCCCUGUAAGUCAGUGCUGAAAUACCCCGGCUUAACCGGGGGGGUGGCAUUGAUACUGCAGGGCUUGAGUAAAGUCGAGGUAGGCGGAAUUGACGGUGUAGCGGUGAAAUGCUUAGAUAUCGUCAAGAACACCGAUAGUGUAGACAGCUUACUAGGCUUUAACUGACGCUGAGGCACGAAAGUGUGGGGAUCAAA